UUUGGUCCUUGGCUCCAGGGAUCUGGGCCUUGGACCAGGUACAUACAGUAUUGGCAUUUAUGGUUUCAAGGGCACAACCAAGUAUAAGGUGUCUGUUAACAUUCGAGACACAUAUAAGUCAAAGAGCGGACAGCAACCUGUGUCUUCCGCCUUAUCUGCUGAUGCAGACACUGUAGAAUGCCGGAAUUGUAAGCAUGCUUAGUUAAGCCACAUGUUGAAAGCCUUGGUUCAAAAUCUUUGGUCCUUGGCUCCAGGGAUCUGGGCCUUGGACCAGGUACAUACAGUAUUGGCAUUUAUGGUUUCAAGGGCACAACCAAGUAUAAGGUGUCUGUUAACAUUCGAGACACAUAUAAGUCAAAGAGCGGACAGCAACCUGUGUCUUCCGCCUUAUCUGCUGAUGCAGACACUGUAGAAUGCCGGAAUUGUAAGCAUUACAUACCUUCCAGGAGUAUAGCGCUGCAUGAAGCCUACUGUAGCAGGCAUAAUGUUGUCUGUCAGCAUACUGGUUGUGGG
rnacentral:lncRNA from 1 species